rnacentral:rRNA from 1 species
AAAAGAACACAGGGAUUACCUCAGUAACGGCGAGUGAAGCGGUAACAGCUCAAAUUUGAAAUCUGGCUCUUUCAGGGUCCGAGUUGUAAUUUGUAGAAGAUGUUUCGGGUGUGGCUCCGGUCUAAGUUCCUUGGAACAGGACGUCGUAGAGGGUGAGAAUCCCGUAUGUGACUGGCUGCCUCCGCCCACGUGAAACUCUUUCGACGAGUCGAGUUGUUUGGGAAUGCAGCUCAAAAUGGGUGGUAAAUUUCAUCUAAAGCUAAAUAUUGGCCAGAGACCGAUAGCGCACAAGUAGAGUGAUCGAAAGAUGAAAAGCACUUUGGAAAGAGAGUUAAACAGUACGUGAAAUUGUUGAAAGGGAAGCGCUUGCAAUCAGACUUGCGCGCGGCCGAUCAUCCGGGGUUCUCCCCGGUGCACUCGGUCGCGUUCAGGCCAGCAUCGGUUUGGGUGGUGGGAUAAAGGCCUUGGGAAUGUAGCUUCUUUCGGGGAGUGUUAUAGCCCUCGGUGCAAUGCCGCCUAUCCAGACCGAGGACCGCGCUUCGGCUAGGAUGCUGGCGUAAUGGUUGUAAGCGACCCGUCUUGAAACACGGACCAAGGAGUCUAACACUUAUGCGAGUAUUUGGGUGUCAAACCCAUAUGCGUAAUGAAAGUGAACGGAGGUGAGAACCCUUAAGGGUGCAUCAUCGACCGGUCCUGAUGUCUUCGGAUGGAUCUGAGUAAGAGCAUAAUUGUUAGGACCCGAAAGAAGGUGAACUAUGCCUGAAUAGGGUGAAGCCAGAGGAAACUCUGGUGGAGGCUCGCAGCGGUUCUGACGUGCAAAUCGAUCGUCAAAUUUGGGUAUAGGGGCGAAAGACUAAUCGAACCUUCUAGUAGCUGGUUCCUGCCGAAGUUUCCCUCAGGAUAGCAGUGUUGAAUUCAGUUUUAUGAGGUAAAGCGAAUGAUUGGAGGCCUUGGGGUUGAAACACCCUUAACCUAUUCUCAACUUUAAUAUGUAAAAGUCCUUGUUACUUAUUGA